AACGAACGCUGGCGGCAUGCCUAACACAUGCAAGUCGAACGAGACCUUCGGGUCUAGUGGCGCACGGGUGCGUAACGCGUGGGAACCUGCCCUUAGGUUCGGAAUAACUCCCCGAAAGGGGUGCUAAUACCGGAUAAUGUCUUCGGACCAAAGAUUUAUCGCCUUUGGAUGGGCCCGCGUUGGAUUAGCUAGUUGGUAGGGUAAAAGCCUACCAAGGCGACGAUCCAUAGCUGGUCUGAGAGGAUGAUCAGCCACACUGGGACUGAGACACGGCCCAGACUCCUACGGGAGGCAGCAGUGGGGAAUAUUGGACAAUGGGCGAAAGACUGAUCCAGCAAUGCCGCGUGAGUGAUAAAGGCCUUAGGGUUGUAAAGCUCUUUUACCCGGGAUGAUAAUGACAGUACCGGGAGAAUAAGCUCCGGCUAACUCCGUG
rnacentral:rRNA from 1 species